GGUUUGUGUGUCGGCCUCCCUUUGUAAUUGUGUUUUGGCGCAUUACACAAUGAAAGAGCUUUAAAAGCUCGGAUACUAGUCAAUGAAGAAGACAAAAUUUCAGUUCUUGCAUUAAUGGACCUAAUGGCUCCGGACUGUGAUAUUUUUGUACUGGACGUGCUAAAGUAUGUGUCGAGAUUUGGAAUUCCUUGAAAGAAGUAUUGGAAAACCGGACAAAAGGCACCAAAAAUCCCACAGAGUGAACUUUCCACAAGCAGUUAUAGCGGUUGCAAAGUUGCACGAUCGAAACCGUACUGUUUUGGGGAAACCAACUCAACCUCCCAUACCCUGGAAAAAAGAGAAAUAGAAAAACAGAUAGAAAAGAGAUGUGCUGAAGUGACUCCUUCAUUUUAGGAGAAAGAGAAACCUGUGGCGGAAGAUGUUCAGUAACUCCUCCAUAAGGCCAAAUCCUCCUCGACCCCAUUUAUCCCCCCAGUUGCACAUCACUAUGUAGUAGUGUUUGACUUUUCAGUCUUCAUUUGACUCCUCACCCUUUCUACUGCCUUCCUCAGCGCGUUCUUCUUCGUCUUCAUAGCUUUCCUCGAGUUUCACUAGAUUUGCCUCCAAUGCUUUCUCUGGCUUCUCCACCAUCACUAUAUUCCCAUCCUACUAAUACCAUUGCAUGCAAUUCUAAGUUCCCACAUUGACGAUUCAUUUCAUAGGUAUAAAUUCCUUGUAAAAGAGACACUAGUCAAUAUUUACUCAACAAACACAACUUACACAACAAUUUACUACUUACAUCUUCGUAAUCAUACACAGCGUCAUUCAAGGAAGCAUCGCAAAUAAGGGGAAAUUGUUUGGGCAUAAAUUCAAUGGUGGCCGUAUUGUUGCCAAUACUUUUGUAAUCGGCAAUUCUAUACAUGUAAAGCUUGUUCUAUAUAAUAAUACUAGCCUCUAAGUAUUGGCAAUCAUACAGCCACCAUUGAAUUUAUGCUCAGGUAGUUUCCCCUUAUUUGCGAUGCUUCCUUGAGUGAUGCUGUGUAUGAUUACAAAGAUGUAAGUAGUAAAUUGUUGUGUAAGUUGUGUUUGUUGAGUAAAUAUUGACUAGUGUAUUUUUUAUAGGGAAUUUAUACCUAUGAAAUGAAUCGCCAAGGUGGGAACUUGGAAUUGCAUGCAAUGGUAUUAGUAGGAUGGGGAUAUAGUGAAGGUGGAGAAGUCGGAGAAAGCAUUGGAGACAAAUUUAGUGAAAGCAGCGGAGGCCUCGAGGAAAGCUACGAAGACGCCGAUGAAAGCGCUGAGGAAUGCAGUGGAAAGGGUGAGGAGUCAAAUGAAGACAGGAAAGUCAAACACUACUACAUAGUGAUGUGCAGCUGGGGGGAUAAAUGGGGUAGGGGAGGAUUUGGCCUUAUGGAGCAAAGGUUAAUCUGUGAUGCUGUGAAGUAACUCCUCCAUUUUUGUAGAAGCCUGGGAAUUUAUACCUAUGAAAUGAAUCGCCGCCAAUGUGGGAACUUGGAAUAGCAUGCAAUUGUAUUAGUAGGAUGGGGAUAUAGUGAUGGUGAGAAGCCGGAGAAAGCAUUGGAGGCAAAUAAAGUGAAAGCAGUGGAGACCUCGAUGAAGCCACUGAGGAAGACAUUGGGGAGGGUGAGGAGUCAAAUGAAGACAGGAAAGUCAAACACUAACUGGGGGAUAAAUGGGGUCAGGGAGGGUUUGGCCUCUCGGAGAAAAGGUUAAUCCGGCGGGUCUAUUAUCCCACAAUACUACCUCCUGAUGAGAUCUGAGCUCCGGAGUCUAGUCCCUCGAACAAGAAAUUGGUUAUGUACUCGUAUAUUAGCUCCUGUGUUUAUAUGGUUGUGAGAUUUAUGGUUAAUUAAUAUUAAUUUUUGGUUCCAAUUGAAAAGCGAUUAAAUGAUUAUUUAUCUUACAGUUGUUGGAGAGAAAGAUUCAAGUCUCUACUUAUCCAAAUGAACCUGAUCAUCGUUGAAAUGGUCGUUUGGUCGAGUCAGAGCCCCUUUUGGUGUUUUUCCUCGAGCACGCGAGCCUCCAGCUUCCCAUGUGAAUGUGAUAGACCAAGUAUGUGUGGAUGUCCGUGUGUAUGUGUGGAUGUCCGUGUGUACUCAGCAAAACCUUUGGGGAAAAAGAAGGAGAAGGAGAUGAAAGAAAUACAUGAUAUAUAGAUCAGAUACCAGACAUUCCGGUACAGGAUAUUCCGACUUGGUGAAUUUCUUCGUACAACUCGGGAAUCAUUGAUAUUAUUAAUACGACAGUUGAAUAACUGUCGAUAUCGUGUCCGUUAUGUUACAGUGUAAACCUACAUGGCAAGCAACUUACAACAUGGCAUUUGAGUCAUUGGGCGGCUUGACCAGCGGCAGUUUGUUUUUGUAAUCUGAUAGCUAAAAGCAUGUGUACAAAUAUUUGUUCAUUGAUCAUACUAUUCUUUUGGAAAUUUUCCUAGCCCGAUCGAGUGGUAAUUAAUUGUCAGUGAGACUAGUGCCCCAUCAUUCAUCGCC